rfam:Hordeum vulgare subsp. vulgare, WGS project CAJW01000000 data, contig: morex_contig_1579493
UACAUACUCCCUCCGUCCAGAAAUACUUGUCCUAAAAAUUGAUAUAAUGGAUGUAUCUAUAACUAAAGUAAGUCUAGAUUCAUCCAUUUCUAGGACAAUUAUUUCCGGACGGAGGGAGUAGUUC